rnacentral:lncRNA from 1 species
UUGAAGGAAGUGGUAAAGACAAAUACAUGAAGGGGUCAAAUGUUAUUGAGAUUUUGUUGCAGACCGGACAAACCAGAGUAGACUUAUAUUGACCCUGCAUUAAAUAGUUUCAGUAUAAGUAAACUUGCUGGCCAUAGACACUAAGCAAGCUAAUUCCCUCAAACAACAAAAUAAAUAGCAAUUUCAGAUAUUUUACAGCAGGGUUCUGUCAAAGAAUUACUGGGAGUGACAUAAGUAAACUUGCUAGCCAUAGACACUAAGCAAGCUAAUUCCCUCAAACAACAAAAUAAAUAGCAAUUUCAGAUAUUUUACAGCAGGGUUCUGUCAAAGAAUUACUGGGAGUGACAUAGCCUUAGUUGACAAAAAGAAAUAAGUGAUUAUCCGCCUCCAUUGCUGAAAGGCAUUGUAGAUCUCCAGCAGACAAAGGUAAGAGAAAAAUAAAGUAAUUCCCAGGUCUAGUCAGGACGUAGAAAAGAAAAUCCAUUAGAUAAAAGCCAAACAAGAAACAGACCUAGUCAAUUUUAAGAAAGUUUAACACAGAGACAAUAAAU